AACGAACGCUGGCGGCAUGCCUAACACAUGCAAGUCGAACGAGACCUUCGGGUCUAGUGGCGCACGGGUGCGUAACGCGUGGGAACCUGCCCUUAGGUUCGGAAUAACUCCCCGAAAGGGGUGCUAAUACCGGAUAAUGUCUUCGGACCAAAGAUUUAUCGCCUUUGGAUGGGCCCGCGUUGGAUUAGCUAGUUGGUAGGGUAAAAGCCUACCAAGGCGACGAUCCAUAGCUGGUCUGAGAGGAUGAUCAGCCACACUGGGACUGAGACACGGCCCAGACUCCUACGGGAGGCAGCGGUGGGGAAUAUGGGACAAGGGGCGAAAGCCUGAUCCAGCAAUGCCGCGUGAGUGAUGAAGGCCUUAGGGUUGUAAAGCUCUUUUAACCGAGAUGAUAAUGACAGUACCGGGAGAAUAAGAUCCGGCUAACUCCGUG
rnacentral:rRNA from 1 species